rnacentral:rRNA from 1 species
GAUUAUGGCUCAGGAUGAACGCUAGCUACAGGCUUAACACAUGCAAGUCGAGGGUCAGCAUGACCUAGCAAUAGGUUGAUGGCGACCGGCGCACGGGUGAGUAACACGUAUCCAACCUACCGGUUAUUCCGGGAUAGCCUUUCGAAAGAAAGAUUAAUACCGGAUAGUAUAACGAGAAGGCAUCUUCUUGUUAUUAAAGAAUUUCGAUAACCGAUGGGGAUGCGUUCCAUUAGUUUGUUGGCGGGGUAACGGCCCACCAAG